rfam:Dehalococcoidia bacterium SG8_51_3 WOR_8-12_8781, whole genome shotgun sequence.
GACAACUGAAUAGUCUGUCCUGAGACAGUGGGUGCCGGAAACGGCUUAAUCAGCAAGCCUGCCGAGGAUGAUAGAGAAUCUGGGUGAACUGGAUUGAUUUAUCCCUGCGCAGCGGGCGCAGGGAUUUUUUAUGGCAUUA